UACAGAGGUCCCAAGCGUUGUUCGGAUUCAUUGGGCGUAAAGGGUGCGUAGGCGGCGCGGUAAGUCGGGUGUGAAAUCUCGGGGCUUAACUCCGAAACUGCAUUCGAUACUGCCGUGCUUGAGGACUGGAGAGGAGACUGGAAUUUACGGUGUAGCGGUGAAGUGCGUAGAUAUCGUAAGGAAGACCAGUGGCGAAGGCGGGUCUCUGGACAGUUCCUGACGCUGAGGCACGAAGGCCAGGGGAGCAAACGGG
rnacentral:rRNA from 1 species